rnacentral:lncRNA from 1 species
CAGGCGGGGAGGGGCGGGCCCGGGGCGGGGCGGCGCGCUCUGGGCUCCGGCCCCAGCCGGAGGUUAAGGGUCAGGGUUGGGGGCUGUGGGCGGGAUACGCUCUCUGGAGCUCCAAGCCCCGCUGGAGAGUGGGGGUCUGGUUCCAGGGGGGCCCGCGAACGCGAACCGGGAUCCGCCCCGGCUGGAGGAGAGGGGCCCGGGGCGGGAGCCCGGCGCGGACUCGGAGCUGGGGUGGCCUCUAGAAGCGCCGACUCUGGUGAACCGAUCUACUGAGGGGGAUGGCGUGGAGCGCGCGCUCGGCGAUCGGCGCCACCUGCGGGUCGGGGAGGGCGAGGCGGCGAUGCCCGGAGGCGCGGGCGCAACAGAGACAUGUGACACGGAUGAACCUUGAUAGCUUCCUGGGCUGUUUCCACGGGGCAAAGGGACCAUAAAG